UACGUAGGGGGCAAGCGUUGUCCGGAUUUAUUGGGCGUAAAGGGCUCGUAGGCGGCCAACUAAGUCAGACGUGAAAUCCCUCGGCUUAACCGGGGAACUGCGUCUGAUACUGGAUGGCUAGAGGUUGGGAGAGGGAUGCGGAAUUCCAGGUGUAGCGGUGAAAUGCGUAGAUAUCUGGAGGAACACCGGUGGCGAAGGCGGCAUCCUGGACCAAUUCUGACGCUGAGGAGCGAAAGCCAGGGGAGCAAACGGG
rnacentral:rRNA from 1 species